rnacentral:rRNA from 1 species
GACGAACGCUGGCGGCGUGCUUAACACAUGCAAGUCGAACGGAGUGGCGAACGGUUGAGUAACACGUGGGUGCUCUGCCUUUCACUUCGGGAUAAGCUUGGGACACUGGGUCUAAUACCGGAUAGUGCAAGAUGAGCUCGCGGCCUCUCAGCUUGGUGGUGGGGUACUGGCCUACCAAGGCGUCGACGGGUAGCCGGCCUGAGCGGGUGUACGGCAAAAUGGGGACUGAGAUACGGCCCAGACUCCUACGGGAGGCAGCAGUGGGGAAUAUUGCACAAGGGGCGGAAGCCUGAUGCAGCGACGCCGCGUGGGGGAUGAAGGCCUUCGGGUUGUAAACUCCUUUCGACAGGGACGCGGUACCUGUAUAAGAAGAACCGGCUAACUACGUGCCAGCAGCCGCGGUAAUUC